CGCUGGCGGCGUGCUUAACACAUGCAAGUCGAACGAGAAUCACCGGAAGGAGUUUUCGGACAACGGAAGGUGAGGACAGUGGCGGACGGGUGAGUAACGCGUGAGGAACCUGCCUUUCAGAGGGGGACAACAGUUGGAAACGACUGCUAAUACCGCAUAACGCAUAGGUAUCGCAUGGUACUUAUGCCAAAGAUUUAUCGCUGAAAGAUGGCCUCGCGUCUGAUUAGCUGGUUGGUGAGGUAACGGCCCACCAAGGCGACGAUCAGUAGCCGGACUGAGAGGUUGACCGGCCACAUUGGGACUGAGAUACGGCCCAGACUCCUACGGGAGGCAGCAGUGGGGAAUAUUGGGCAAUGGGCGCAAGCCUGACCCAGCAACGCCGCGUGAAGGAAGAAGGCUUUCGGGUUGUAAACUUCUUUUGGCAGGGAAGAGGAGAAGACGGUACCUGCCGAAUAAGCCACGGCUAACUACGUGCCAGCAGCCGCGGUAAUACGUAGGUGGCAAGCGUUGUCCGGAUUUACUGGGUGUAAAGGGCGUGUAGCCGGGUUGGUAAGUCAGAUGUGAAAUGCACGGGCUUAACUCGUGA
rnacentral:rRNA from 1 species